GCCAGACUCCUACGGGAGGCAGCAGUGGGGGAUAUUGCACAAUGGGGGAAACCCUGAUGCAGCGACGCCGCGUGGGUGAAGAAGCGCCUCGGCGCGUAAAGCCCUGUCAGCAGGGAAGAAAAUGACGGUACCUGAAGAAGAAGCCCCGGCUAACUACGUGCCAGCAGCCGCGGUAAUACGUAGGGGGCAAGCGUUAUCCGGAUUUACUGGGUGUAAAGGGAGCGUAGACGGCAGUGCAAGUCCGGAGUGAAAGCCCGGGGCUCAACCCUGGGACUGCUCUGGAAACUGUAAAGCUGGAGUGCGGGAGGGGCAGGCGGAAUUCCUGGUGUAGCGGUGAAAUGCGUAGAUAUCAGGAGGAACACCGGCGGCGAAGGCGGCCUGCUGGACCGUAACUGACGUUGAGGCUCGAAAGCGUGGGGAGCAAACAGGAUUAGAUACCCGAGUAA
rnacentral:rRNA from 1 species